UACGUAGGGUGCAAGCGUUAAUCGGAAUUACUGGGCGUAAAGCGUGCGCAGGCGGUUUUGUAAGUCUGUCGUGAAAUCCCCGGGCUCAACCUGGGAAUGGCGAUGGAGACUGCAAGGCUAGAGUUUGGCAGAGGGGGGUAGAAUUCCACGUGUAGCAGUGAAAUGCGUAGAUAUGUGGAGGAACACCGAUGGCGAAGGCAGCCCCCUGGGGCAAAACUGACGCUCAUGCACGAAAGCGUGGGGAGCAAACAGG
rnacentral:rRNA from 1 species